rnacentral:lncRNA from 1 species
AAUUAAAGCAAAGCCACUUUAAUAUUUUUAUUAUUAUUAUUAUUAUUAUUAUUAUUAUUAUUGUAUUUUUGAGAUGGAGUCUCACUCUGUCGCCCAGGCUGGAGUGCAGUGGCACAAUCUCGGCUGACUGCAGGCUCCGCCUCCCAGGUUCACACCAUUCUCCUGCCUUAGCCUCCCGAGUAGCUGGGACUGCAGGUGCCCACCACCACGCCUGGCUAAUUUUUUUGUAUUUUUAGUAGAGACGGGGUUUCACCGUGUUAGCCAGGAUGGUCUUGAUCUCCCGACCUUGUGAUCUGCUGGCCUCGGACUCCCAAAGUGGUGGGAUUACAAGCGUGAGCCACUGCACCCAGCCUAUUUAUUUAUUUAUUUUUUUACUGCAGAUUCUGAUUCAAUAAUUCAGAGAUGAGGCCUGAGAUUCUGCAUUUCUACUGAACUCCCAGGUGAGGCUCAUUGACCCUCAUUUUGUGCCAAGGACCACACCUUGAGGUGCAAGAGGCUAGAAAGCUGAGGGACAAUUGUGGAAGGAAAGAACUGAGCUGCUUGCCAGACCCAGCGCACUCCUUUUUCUCUGGACAGCUGCUGCUUUGCAGAGGGUCGUGGGAGGAGGCAACAAACCCUCAGUGAUACCAGAGAGAAGAAAAGAUUGUGCAAAAGAGUGUAAGAUGCUAAAUGCUUCUGCUGGAAUGGGUGGAGUUCCCGCUGCAUUCUCUAAAGUCUUUGCCACCACCAGAUUACCAACGUUUUCACGAAUUUGCCACCUCCCUACUCCUCUCCUUUCCAAAAGCCCUCAUUGGAAAGAACUUUCUCUCGUGACCCCCUAUUCCAUCUAGUUCCAAUCACUCCCAGCGCCCCCCAUCUCCAUCGGCUUCCCCUCUCCCGCCCAGAAUCCAGGUUCCC